rnacentral:misc_RNA from 1 species
AUAUUGCCAUUGGCUCCGCAAUCAAUGUCUUUUGUUCAGCCCAGUGUUCCAACUAAUUUUCCUUUGGAUCAGAAAGUGGGAGGUCCUCUGCCUAUUCAACCUGGUCAAGAAACUUCUGCUCAUAUUCUUAUGAAAAGUGACCUUUUGUCUGUUUCAAUGGAUAAUCAACAAGCUAUUCUUCCACGGAACUUAGAUGUAUCUCAUGUUCUAGCUUCAAAAGAGGGAAAAUCUUUGUCACCAAGAGAAAGUGCUGGUAACACUGUAAAAAUGCAGCAGGGUUCUCAAAUAAAUGAUAGCAGUUCCAGGUCUGAAUCAGGAUUUCAAGUGGAAGAUGCAUUUUUGAAAGAUUUGAAAGCCUUAUCCACUAAAGAAUUGGAAGGGCAGCCUCAAACUGUGUCAACAUCAUUGCAUUCAGUUUCUAAAGAAAAAGAUAUAGGUGCCUCAAAGGUUCGGGGUCUAGCAUCAGGAGGGAGAGGGAAGAAAUAUGUCUUUGCAGUAAAAAAUUCUGGCUCAAAAACAUUGUCGCAGGCUUCCGAAAAUUCUUGCCAAGAGUCUAGUGGAUUUCAGAGGCGUCGACGUCAGCGAACUGAAUUUCGAGUUCGGGAAAGUGCUGAUAAGAGGCAAUC